rnacentral:rRNA from 1 species
GACGAACGCUGGCGGCGUGCUUAACACAUGCAAGUCGAACGGAAAGGCCCUGCUGUUGUGGGGUGCUCGAGUGGCGAACGGGUGAGUAACACGUGAGUAACCUGCCCUUGACUUUGGGAUAACUUCAGGAAACUGGGGCUAAUACCGGAUAGGAGCUCCUGCUUCAUGGUGGGGGUGGGAAAGUUUCGGCGGUUGGGGAUGGACUCGCGGCUUAUCAGCUUGUUGGUGGGGUAGUGGCUUACCAAGGCUUUGACGGGUAGCCGGCCUGAGAGGGUGACCGGCCACAUUGGGACUGAGAUACGGCCCAGACUCCUACGGGAGGCAGCAGUGGGGAAUAUUGCACAAUGGGCGGAAGCCUGAUGCAGCAACGCCGCGUGCGGGAUGACGGCCUUCGGGUUGUAAACCGCUUUCGCCUGUGACGAAGCGUGAGUGACGGUAAUGGGUAAAGAAGCACCGGCUAACUACGUG